CCUUAAGAUAUCUUAAACCCUUUACCACUACCAAGUAAUUUUAUAAUAUUAUAAAAGUCUUUAUGCUAAAACUAGUAACAAGAAAUUGCAUUUCUCCUAAGUAUAAGUAUAAGUCAAAACGGACUAACCAUUGACAAUUAACGCCAAUAAACCUAUUAUAAUAACACACUCAAGAAAAUCUUAUAAUUAAACACGUUAAUCUUACACAAGCAUAUUUCAGGAAAGAUUAAAAGAAAAGGAAGGAACUCGGCAAAUUUUAACCCCGCCUGUUUACCAAAAACAUCGCCUCUUGAUAAAAUAUAAGAGGUCCAGCCUGCCCAGUGAUAUUCUUAAACGGCCGCGGUACCCUGACCGUGCAAAGGUAGCAUAAUCACUUGUUCUUUAAAUAGGGACUUGUAUCAACGGCACCACGAGGGUUAUACUGUCUCCCCUCUCUAAUCAGUGAAACUGACCUCCCCGUGAAGAGGCGGGGAUUAUACUACAAGACGAGAAGACCCCAUGGAGCUUUAAACCCAAUAACAACCUCUCACUAAGUACCCCUCAAAGAUAAAGAGGAGCUGUCAUAUUGGUUUUAGGUUGGGGUGACCACGGAGAAAAACACAACCUCCUUGACGAACGGACUUCUACCCUAAUCCAAGAGCUACUGCUCUAAGAAUCAACAAUUUGACGUAAAAUGAUCCAUAUUCGAUCAACGAACCAAGUUACCCUGGGGAUAACAGCGCAAUCCAUUUCAAGAGCCCCUAUCGACAAAUGGGUUUACGACCUCGAUGUUGGA
rnacentral:rRNA from 1 species